CGCUCUCCGCACCGCGGCUUAAAUGAUGUAUUUUGUUCGCAGCGAUGAAAGGCCGAAACGUGGUGGACACUACGAUGAGCUGCUGGAGAUGAAAUCUUUCUAUACGACGUACCCACGGCAAAUUUUCUCUUUCCCUCGUGGCUUUCGGAAAACGGGAUUUAAUCGUGUUUAGAAUAAGCAACUGGUAAAGGAGGGAAAACCUCCUUGUGAUACACGUUCUUAAGCACUUAAAAUCAUUUUGUAAAUUAAAAAUGUUGUUUUUCUUACGGACUUUUUUUGGUAAAAGAAAUCUAUGCUCCUCCCCUCCCCCUCAAAAAAACUUUUAUGCUAUUUCCUGCGUUUUAUUAAUCCUGUAAGAGUAAAAUGACUCAAAUAGCCUUUGUAGUCAAGACAUUUUCUUCUGUUUUUUUCCUUUAAGUUAUAAAACAGAUUUUGCUAUUUGGAAGAUGUCACUGCCAAUCUUUAUCCAUUUUAUGAUUUGUGGUGAUUGGGGGGAAGGGUGAAAAGCUAAGACUAUUUCCCCUCAUGAACAGUAACCACCAAACAAUAAGGAAAGUAUGUUUUAAUAUUUUAAUCUGAUCUUGAUGCUUCCCAGUACAGCGGCUUUUGCUUUUUAGCUCUAGUACAAAGUUCGGUACUAUCCCUUACUAAUACAGUCAUGAGAAUCACACAACCGCCAACAUCCCCCAAAAGCUCUAGCCCACACAUUUGUCUCGGAGUGACCUCUGGCUGCCAUUAGAUAAUAGAUUCAUAGUAAUGUGCUUUGAGAAAAGUAGUUCAGAAGUACUGGCAAUGCAGUUUUUCUAUAAGCGUGAGAGAGCGAGAAAGAAAGAAAGAGAGUGCAUCUGGACAAUUAGAAUAUUUCAUUUCCAAUAUCCUGACAUCCUGUGUCUUAAUGGGAUUAUCUCGCUUUGGUGCAAAUUUAAACUGAAGAAAAAUAGUUUGUGGGAAAAUGAGGAAUGCUGUAAAUGUUUCCAUAUCAGAUUUAAGGGGAAAAAAACUGGCCCAGAAUCAUAUUAAAUACUUCCCUACUGCCUCUUAUUUUUAAUAGUUAAAUUGGUUCCAUAUGUAAGAGAGUUUGUAUAAUUAGAUUUUUUCAUGCAAAACAGAAAUACUCUUUAUAAUAUAGCAUUUUGGUACAUGUAUGCCUGUGGAUGGGGGAGGAGAGGACAAGGGACCAUAAAAGAGAAACAUUCUCUUUGUUGGCUGAUUACUUGUGUUUUUUAAACAUCAUUAAAUCAGGCCUUUCGAGCUCACCAAAGAAGAAAAUCCUUCCUCUGCGUUAGUUGUCAAAUAAGUUUAGGCUUAAAGUGGUUUCAUGCUUAGAAGUAAUAAAUCUUCAUUUAAGCAACUCUAGUCUCAUCUUUCAGUUUUGUUUUUGUUUAAUUAACAACAAAAUUCCAAUACCAUUUGGAUUGCUUCUUGGGCAAACAGAGAGAGCCAGCGAUAACAUUUAUAAUCAGGGGAGCACUUGUUCUGCUCAUCAGAAAAGUGCAUUGGCCAAAUGUCAGGCAGCAACCGAGUGCUGAAAGGAAAUGCAAGGGCUUCAUCAGUUUUCGUAGAUUAUAUACCCUUUGCUUCGUGAGUGCUCAGCCUAUGCUCAUGUAAAUGGAGUUAGAGUGGAGAGAGGCUUACAGGGAAUUUCUGUCCCAUAAUAGAUUCUUGCCCCAGCACAAUUCAUGUGCAAAUGCAAAACUUCACCUUCCUGCUUUGAAAAUACUUUAUGUGUUGGUGAUUAGUAGUAUUUCCAACUCGCAUAAAUUUGAUUUUAUAGUUUUGAAAAAUUUGGCCUUUCAUUUUACCCAAUGAAAUGUGAAUUUUAUCCCUGGUCUUAUUUCAAGCACCCCAUCAAUGGCAUCCCUUAGCUGGGAUUUUUGUCCCAUUUUUGUGACCUUUGAUGGAUAGGAUUGGGAGAAGGGUGAUGGCUGGAUCUUGAAAGGAGAAAAUCCAAAGAGCUGCACCACCGGGCAGAGUUCAUCGGGCAAGGAGGGGUCAGUUCUUUUAAAGACAAAGAGGAUCUGUGAAUCCAUCUGUCCAUGGGAGGAGGGGGGCCUCAGACCCUCUAUCAAGUAGAGAAUUUUUUAAAGCACCAUUUUCUUGAGCCGCCUCUUGAUUUUAUAUAUUUGAAUCACAUCACUUGAAAUGCAAAACAACGUCAUACUCAUACUCGAGUAAACCACUUUGCCCUCAGUUUGAAUUGAAUACCAUGUAAUUUCUCGAUGCUGCCCAGUUAUAAAAUAAUACAGUUUCUAAAUGGAAGUAGUCCAAUAGACAGAGGGAUGGAUGGAUAGAAAGAUAGAUGAUAGAAUAAAUAUGAUUUAUAUCUUAGGGGUUAUUUUAUAUCUAGUAGAUAAAUUAGUAAAUAUAUGUUAAUAGUUCUCACUGCACUCCUUUUUCUCUCACCUUUCCCUUCCAGCCAAGUGAAUCACGAUGAAAUGGAUGAGAUCAGCAAGUAGAUAAUUGCAAAGCACCUGCAGGAGCACCCAGCCACUUUGUAAUUUGCUCAGGGGCGUCUAAGAAAAUAAUAUUUACAAAUGGCCAUUUACUGGGAGAAAGAGUUCCUAGAUAGAUGGAUAGCUCAAUCUGUGGAGAUCCUCCACUGAGGAUAUCUCCCUUCCAGCCCAGACUUCGAAUCAUGGACUUAGAGAUUACUAGUCAGAGCUUUUUUGUAUUUGUUGGUACGCAUGCUUUUUCUGUAAAUUGUCAGAACAUUAUGUCCAGAGAUAAGAGGUCUAAAUAGACUGAUGAUAGCAUAUAUGAGCCCUUGGGCAAAAUGCAAGAAAGCAGUUGGAAACUUUUAUUUCUGGAUUUUCUUUUUAAAGUGACAUUUGGUAGCCCUCAUCGUAUUGUAAGGACGUAAUGUGAUAAUUUUAAAAUCUUUGCUCCUGUGAGUGUGAAAAGCCAUGUCCAACCUAUUCCCUAGGUUUGCCAGUGAUUUCAUUUUUAGAUUUUUAUUUUAUUGCCCCUGAAGUUUACUAGGCAUUUCCUAAAUACAUAGAUGGAUGAGUUAAUCUACAUUUGUUUUGUACUGCAUGUUUUACAAACAUUCUUAUCUCAUUUCAUCCUCCGUGGAAAGUCACUGAUACUUUCAUGGUUUUUGCUGAAGAAAAGUGAAGCUCAUAGAGGUUAUGUUGCUGUAGCCAGGCUCUUCCAGCUGAUAAAUGGGGAAGCAAGGACCAGAGCCCUAAUUUCUACUAUUUUCACAGCUGCCUCCCCUGGAGGAAGCUGUGAAAAUGUCCUGGAUAUAACUUUGUCUCUAGUUAGUGAAAAUUAUAACUCUGGCAUUUAUAAGAGAAAAAAAUAGAUUCAAUUAUGUAAUGCUUUGCUGAGCCUAAUAUCUUUAAAUUACUAUUUAAUAAAAUCAAUUUGGUACAAAUGGGGUUAUUCUUAUUUGCUCAUCAUUAGCUCUCUUCAUCCAUGAUUUUCAUUAAGUCUGCUUGUUGUAAGAGGAUCUGAGUGAAAUGUAAGCAUUACCUUCCAAAAGAAUACAGAGUGCUGUGAAGUGCAGCUAACCUGUAUAACCUGCCUCCAUUAUGAUGGAAUUGAACUAGAGAUUUAUCCAUAUGUAUCCCACUUACCUUCAGGCAAAGGGAGCAUUCACAAACGCAUCUUCUAAUUUUAAUACGCCUUUAUGUGGAAAGCUGACGAAGCCCUGUGCUUGUGAAUGCUGUCCCGGUUGUUUCCAUGACAGCUCAGGGGCAUGAUUGUGGACUUACUCUUGAGAAAUCUGUUGUCUUUUAGAACAUCACACAAGAGUAAAAGUUUCCAAGUAGAUAGAUCUGCAAAAGCUCAUUUCUUGAUGGGUGUUUACUUUUCUGCCGACUGGACUGAGAUGUGUUUGUCUGAAAGCAAAUCAAUGUUAUUUCAUAGAGUCUGGGAGAGAAGAAACCUUAAAGUUCACUCAGAUACGUGUCCUAUUGGCAUUUGGUUCUCCGCAGCAUUCCUGCCAAAUGGUUGUCUGGUUAUACUUGAACACCUUUCGUGACGGGCAACUCACUAUUGUUCAAGAUAGCUUAUUCCGUCUCGAAUUAGAAAAUUCUUCUUGUAUCAAGCAUAAAUCUCUUCUUUGUAUUUUUAAUCCCUCGAUUCUGAUCCUUUCUUUUGGGGCUGUGUAGAACAUAUUUAAUCCAUCCUUCAGGUGAAAGACUAUGGUAUUUGAAGACUCAUGGUAUGAAACACACACAGCUCCGACCUUAAUCUUUGCUGUCCCUCUCCACUGUGCUCGUUCUCAUCAGUCUUCCUGCAACUUUGGUCAGUGUCUUUCUUCCUCAAGCAUAGUUAAGUUUGUCUAGAACCUCUGGAAAUUUUAUUGCCAGAAGUGGAACCCGAGCACCCAUUGUGGUGUGAUUGACUCAGCACUUAACCUGCCACAUAGUAAAGAUUAAAGAUUUUUAAAUUUUGUUUUAAAUUUUUUAAGAUACGUAGGUUAGACUGUAUCUUGAGGCCAUUGCAUGACCGGUCUGUGUGAUACGAUUGUAAUUUGUGAAAGUCGACUUUUGACCUAUUUAGAAAUGCUUUUAGGUGAACUCAAGUUGGCUAUUAAAUAUCUAGGAAAAUCAAAGAUAUUCUAAAAAUAAUUAAUGGAACAUGAGAAGCAUUUAUGAGGUGUUUUCCUCCAAAGUUAUGUCAGAUCUGAGAUAAGGCUGCCCUCUAGUGGUUACUUAUUCUCGGAAAGCUAAAAGCCAUAAUGGUGCCAGUGAAUUUCCCAUCAGGCUCGUGGAGGGGGUCAAAGGUUGAAAUUAUUUUCUCACUUGCUGUGGGGCGUUCUUCAUCAGAUUCCAAAGUGUAAUGUAUUGUUUUAAAUGGUUAUUAGAAAUGUAACUGUGGUAGAGAUAAUGAAUUUCAAAAGUUUGCUUGGAAGAUAGUAAGGGAACUUUUAAAGCCGAAUUAUAAAAUUUCGUUUGGCUCCAUAUUAAAUUUUAAGAUGUAAA